GUCCUUGCCGUAAACGAUGUGUACUUGAUGUAGUUAGGCUCAACCCUGACUGUGUCGUAGCUAACGCGAUAAGUACACCGCCUGAGGAGUACGCUCGCAAGGGUGAAACUCAAAAGAAUUGACGGGGGCCCCGCACAAGCAGUGGAGCAUGUGGUUUAAUUCGAUGCAACGCGAAGAACCUUACCUGGGCUCGAAAUGCAGAGGGCGAUACCAGAAAUGGUAUUUCCGUAAGGACUUCUGUAUAGGUGCUGCAUGGCUGUCGU
rnacentral:rRNA from 1 species